AGAGGGGUCGCUGGCAAAGGGCAGAGGUGGAGGUGUUCAGGGCAAGCAGCCUGGGAAACGGCUUCAGCUUGGGAUAGAAGCACUCUAUCAAAAUUACCCGGAUACAUCCUGCCUUUGAUGAGGAGAUUAUUGUCUCUGAAGGGCCCAAGGAGAGGCUGGGCCUGAGGAGAAGCCCCAUGCCCAGCACAACACAUGGGGAAACUGAGGCACAGAGCCACCACAGCAUCUACCCUGCUCUGAGCCAAAACUCCUCUCUUCCACUGGUGUUUCCUUGUCUAUGUGAAGCACCCAAAAGGAGGUCAGGCAGACCGGAGCAACCAGCCUGAGCAUGCAGAGGGAGCAGGAUCCUGGUUCUUGGCUGCAUCUCGUGCACAGACACCAGCGAGCAGGAUUUUCUGCCAACUCAAGCGAUGGAAGCAGCGAAUAACCCUGGCAUGCCCAGGCUCUGCACAGCCCAACUGUCGGCCAGCUGCCUGUUCCUGGGAGGAUGCAGUGCCAUAGGCAGAGAGCAUUUUCUUACUGUAAUCAAGAAAAGAAAUUGUGCCGAUCGGAGCAGCUGAAUGGCAGCCAAAUCUGCUUCUCGGCGGCUUUUCUACACUCUGUAUUCAUGUAUUUGGCAUGAGUAGCUCUGCAUUGAGGUAAUUCAUUAAUGCUCAACCAAAAAUGUGUUUAUGGGAGUCUUGAAAUAGUUGGUAGAAGUGUAAGACUUUCCUUCCUAAAAGCCUGGGCUCUCUCUGUGAUGGGAACCGGGUAUUAAAGCAUCGAGUGCUGCUGCAAUCAGCUGCCAGGGAAGCGACUCCAGGCAGCGUGUGUGCACUGCACGCUCCAGCACGCUCAGAUCCCCUUGUGCCGAAGCCUUUCCCUGGAUUUAGUCAGGCCAUAAGCACCGUGGGUGGGAUUUGCAACAGCUCGGCUCAUGCUUGGGAUGUGGGUGCUUCACCCCGGGUUUCACAGAGAGCAGGUUGGGGAGCAAACACGGGGUGAUGUGGCUGGAAGUGUGGCACCCUGAGCUGGUGGGACCAUCACCAGAGAGUCAGGGCUCUGCCAGGAGGGGCUGUGGCAGGGCAAAGGCAGGGGAAGGGAAAGCAAGACAGCCCUGGUGAGGACCAAGGACUCUAGCCAUCGCCCAGGAGGUUGUGGCAGCUGUGUCUGUGUAGAGCAAACAGCUUUUUCAGGUUAGCUGUGGGUUUCACUGCUUGCACAAUGGGUAUCGCUGUUGUCGUUCCAGUUAUAAUCCUGUAUAAACAAGGCUGACCUCUGGUUAUUGAAAAGAGCUGAAAAUAAAGACAACUUU